GCAAAUUCUUGGUUUUGGUGGGAGCCUUUUAUAUUAGCUUUUAAUUCCAUUGCGCAUGUAGCUAUCUGUUCUCUUCAAAUUCAUCUCUUUGGCGAUGGAUAAUAUAAUGUUCCUGCCGCAAAAGUUGACAUUAUUAUUUUGGGGAUGGGGCCAUUACUUAUUGCUUGAGGAAACUUUUGGACUCCUUUUGUUUUAUUUUAUUCUACUCUGUCUCUUUCUCCCUCUAUAUAUAAACACACACACAGUUAUGUUUAUCUUUCUGGCUUGAGAUGUUCAUCUUCUUUUUGCAGUUAUUUUGCUUCAGCUUUUAUUUUGUUUUCUAUUAUACUGAUUUUGUUACAUUAUAAUUUUUUUUUCCUUUUGUUGCUUUGCUUUUGUUAUCAAAACCCAGUCCAUAGAAAUUCAGAAGAGGAU
rnacentral:misc_RNA from 1 species